AACGUACGCUGGCGGCACGCUUAACACAUGCAAGUCGAACGAAGUAGCAAUACUUAGUGGCAGACGGGUGAGUAACAUGUGGGUAUCUGCCCUUUGGCCUGGAAUAACACGAGGAAACUUGUGCUAAUACCGGAUAAGUCUUUACGGAGAAAGCUUUAUGCACCAUUGGAUGAGCCUGCACUUGAUUAGUUUGUUGGUGGGGUAAUGGCCUACCAAGACUGUGAUCAAUAGCUGAUUUGAGAGGAUGAUCAGCCACAUUGGGACUGAGACACGGCCCAAACUCCUACGGGAGGCAGCAGUGGGGAAUCUUGCACAAUGGAGGAAACUCUGAUGCAGCGAUGCCGCGUGAGUGAAGAAGGCCUUUGGGUUGUAAAGCUCUUUCGUCGGGGAAGAAAAUGACUGUACCCGAAUAAGAAGGUCCGGCUAACUUCGUGCCAGCAGCCGCGGUAAUACGAAGGGACCUAGCGUAGUUCGGAAUUACUGGGCUUAAAGAGUUCGUAGGUGGUUGAAAAAGUUAGUGGUGAAAUCCCAGAGCUUAACUCUGGAACUGCCAUUAAAACUUUUCAGCUAGAGUAUGAUAGAGGAAAGCAGAAUUCCUAGUGUAGAGGUGAAAUUCGUAGAUAUUAGAAAGAAUACCAAUUGCGAAGGCAGCUUUCUGGAUCAUUACUGACACUGAGGAACGAAAGCAUGGGUAGCGAAGAGGAUUAGAUACCCUCGUAGUCCAUGCCGUAAACGAUGUGUGUUAGACGUUGGAAAUUUAUUUUCAGUGUCGCAGCGAAAGCGAUAAACACACCGCCUGGGGAGUACGACCGCAAGGUUAAAACUCAAAUGAAUUGACGGGGACCCGCACAAGUAGUGGAGCAUGUGGUUUAAUUCGAAGAUACGCGCAGAACCUUACCAACACUUGACAUGUUCGUCGCGACUCUAAGAGAUUAGAGUUUUCGGUUCGGCCGGACGAAACACAGGUGCUGCAUGGCUGUCGUCAGCUCGUGUCGUGAGAUGUUGGGUUAAGUCCCGCAACGAGCGCAACCCUCACUUUUAGUUGCCAUCAUUAAGUUGGGCACUCUGAAAGAACUGCCAGUGAUAAGCUGGAGGAAGGUGGGGAUGACGUCAAGUCCUCAUGGCCCUUACGUGUUGGGCUACACACGUGCUACAAUGGUAUCUACAACAGGAAGCAAGACUGCGAGGUCAAGCAAAUCCUUAAAAGAUACCUCAGUUCGGAUUGCACUCUGCAACUCGAGUGCAUGAAGCUGGAAUUACUAGUAAUCGUGGAUCAGCGUGCCACGGUGAAUGCGUUCCCGGGUCU
rnacentral:rRNA from 1 species